CUUGAUAACAUAAGAGGUCCAGCCUGCCCAGUGACUCAAUUCAACGGCCGCGGUAUCCUAACCGUGCAAAGGUAGCGUAAUCACUUGUCUUCUAAAUAAAGACUAGUAUGAAAGGCACCACGAGAACUAAACUGUCUCCUUUUUCUAAUCAGUGAACCUAAUCUCCCUGUGAAAAAGCAAGGAUUUAAUAAUAAGACGAGAAGACCCUAUGGAGCUUUAAACACAUAACAAUGCCCUUUUACACCACAAUGUUCCAUGCACAAUGAUUAAGAGUUUUUAGUUGGGGUGACUACGGAGUAAACCCACCCUCCGCGAUGAAUCUUAAACAAGCGACAGCUUUAUACAUCAGCAAACUGACACCAUUGACCCAAUUUAUUGAUCAACGAAC
rnacentral:rRNA from 2 species